rnacentral:rRNA from 1 species
UUAUGGCUCAGGAUGAACGCUGGCGGCGUGCUUAACACAUGCAAGUCGAACGAAGCAACUAUCUUGCUUGCAAGAGAGUUGACUUAGUGGCGGACGGGUGAGUAACGCGUGGGUAACCUGCCUCAUACAGGGGGAUAACAGUUGGAAACGACUGCUAAGACCGCAUAACCGCUAGUGUCGCAUGACACGGACGGAAAAUAUUUAUAGGUAUGAGAUGGGCCCGCGUCUGAUUAGCUAGUUGGUAAGGUAACGGCUUACCAAGGCGACGAUCAGUAGCCGACUUGAGAGAGUGAUCGGCCACAUUGGGACUGAGACACGGCCCAAACUCCUACGGGAGGCAGCAGUGGGGAAUAUUGGACAAUGGGGGAAACCCUGAUCCAGCGACGCCCGCGUGAGUGAAGAAGUAUUUCGGUAUGUAAAGCUCUAUCAGCAGGGAAGAUAAUGACAGUACCUGACUAAGAAGCCCCGGCUAACUACGUGCCAGCAGCAGC